GAUGAAGAACGUAGCGAAAUGCGAUAACUAGUGUGAAUUGCAGAUUUCAGUGAAUCAUCGAAUCUUUGAACGCACAUUGCGCCCGCCAGUAUUCUGGCGGGCAUGCCUGUUCGAGCGUCAUUUCAACCAUCAAGCCCCAGGCUUGUGUUGGAGCCCUGCGGCUGCCGCAGCCUCCCAAAACCAGUGGCGGGCUCGCUAUCACACCGAGUGCAGUAGUUUACUCUUCGCUCAGGGCGUGUGGCGGGUGCUAGCCGUAAAACCCCCAACUUCUCAAGGUUGACCUCGGAUCAGGUAGGAAUACCCGCUGAACUUAAGCAUAUCAAUAAGCGGAGGA
rnacentral:misc_RNA from 1 species